GCUCGAGAGCGAAAAACUGGAAUUUUGUCUGCACGGUACCUUCCCAAGGUUUUGUCGAAGUUGAAGUUGACGUGGUAUAGCUUUGCUAUAUGAGUUCGACUUCAGGACGCAGCGAACAACUGUGACUUAGUCCGGCAACUCUUUACAUUCGUGACUUGAGCAUCAACCUUGCAAGUUUCCAGGACUUUCAAAGGGAUGGUCUGUGAUCUUGUGAUUCCGUCACAACGCUGUCGCAUUAUCCAGUAUUAUCUACCCAGCGGGAGGGCUUCACUUAGAUCCGGUCAGCGAAACGAGGUUCUUUUCGUUUUAGGAGAGCUCUAUGACGCAGCCAAAGCUUGAAUGGUCGUCUUUGGUCGGCCUGUUGGUGUCACAGCUCCCUCGGGCAGCUGACAUAGACCCGAGCCGCCCGCUCCGCUCCUCCAAGUUCUUCGCUCAUGACAGGUUGAAAAAUGGAGUGGAAUGUCAACCCCCUAGAUUCCACAGGGCUUCCAGCAAAGCAAGCCAGCAAGAUUCAUGUGAUUCCAGUCAAAGCUGCCUCUGCCGGACUUCAAUCCUCACAUGCUGGCACCGUGGCAUAAAAAACGUAGAAAAAUACGGCGCGAUGGAUUCAUUCAACCGAAUAGAAACCGAUUUUGUUGACCUUGCCCGUGAAAUCCACUGAAACAGGAAAGAGAGCAAGAAAAAAAAAAAA